UUAUGGCUCAGGAUGAACGCUGGCGGCGUGCCUAACACAUGCAAGUCGAGCGAUUCUCUUCGGAGAAGAGCGGCGACGGGUGAGUAACGCGUGGGUAACCUGCCUCAUACACAUGGAUAACAUACCGAAAGGUAUGCUAAUACAGGAUAAUAUAAGAGAUUCACAUGGAUUUCUUAUCAAAGCUCCGGCGGUAUGAGAUGGACCCGCGUCUGAUUAGCUAGUUGGUAAGGUAACGGCUUACCAAGGCGACGAUCAGUAGCCGACCUGAGAGGGUGAUCGGCCACAUUGGAACUGAGACACGGUCCAAACUCCUACGGGAGGCAGCAGUGGGGAAUAUUGCACAAUGGGCGGAAGCCUGAUGCAAGCAACGCCGCGUGAGUGAUGAAGGCCUUCGGGUCGUAAAACUCUGUCCUCAAGGAAGAUAAUGACGGUACUUGAGGAGGAAGCCCCGGCUAACUACGUGCCAGCAGCUGC
rnacentral:rRNA from 1 species